rnacentral:rRNA from 1 species
GAAAGAGGGUGCGAGCGUUAAUCGGAAUUACUGGGCGUAAAGCGUGCGCAGGCGGUUAUGUAAGACAGAUGUGAAAUGCCCGGGCUUAACCUGGGAACUGCAUUUGUGACUGCAUGGCUAGAGUUUGGCAGAGGGGGGUAGAAUUCCACGUGUAGCAGUGAAAUGCGUAGAUAUGUGGAGGAACACCGAUGGCGAAGGCAGCCCCCUGGGUCAAGACUGACGCUCAUGCACGAAAGCGUGGGGAGCAAACAGG